GAUGAACGCUGGCGGCGUGCCUAAUACAUGCAAGUCGAGCGAACGGACGAGAAGCUUGCUUCUCUGAUGUUAGCGGCGGACGGGUGAGUAACACGUGGAUAACCUACCUAUAAGACUGGGAUAACUUCGGGAAACCGGAGCUAAUACCGGAUAAUAUUUUGAACCGCAUGGUUCAAAAGUAAAAGACGGUCUUGCUGUCACUUAUAGAUGGAUCCGCGCUGCAUUAGCUAGUUGGUAAGGUAACGGCUUACCAAGGCAACGAUGCAUAGCCGACCUGAGAGGGUGAUCGGCCACACUGGAACUGAGACACGGUCCAGACUCCUACGGGAGGCAGCAGUAGGGAAUCUUCCGCAAUGGGCGAAAGCCUGACGGAGCAACGCCGCGUGAGUGAUGAAGGUCUUCGGAUCGUAAAACUCUGUUAUUAGGGAAGAACAUAUGUGUAAGUAACUGUGCACAUCUUGACGGUACCUAAUCAGAAAGCCACGGCUAACUACGUGCCAGCAGCCGCGGUAAUACGUAGGUGGCAAGCGUUAUCCGGAAUUAUUGGGCGUAAAGCGCGCGUAGGCGGUUUUUUAAGUCUGAUGUGAAAGCCCACGGCUCAACCGUGGAGGGUCAUUGGAAACUGGAAAACUUGAGUGCAGAAGAGGAAAGUGGAAUUCCAUGUGUAGCGGUGAAAUGCGCAGAGAUAUGGAGGAACACCAGUGGCGAAGGCGACUUUCUGGUCUGUAACUGACGCUGAUGUGCGAAAGCGUGGAGAUCAAACAGGAUUAGAUACCCUGGUAGUCCACGCCGUAAACGAUGAGUGCUAAGUGUUAGGGGGUUUCCGCCCCUUAGUGCUGCAGCUAACGCAUUAAGCACUCCGCCUGGGGAGUACGACCGCAAGGUUGAAACUCAAAGGAAUUGACGGGGACCCGCACAAGCGGUGGAGCAUGUGGUUUAAUUCGAAGCAACGCGAAGAACCUUACCAAAUCUUGACAUCCUUUGACAACUCUAGAGAUAGAGCCUUCCCCUUCGGGGGACAAAGUGACAGGUGGUGCAUGGUUGUCGUCAGCUCGUGUCGUGAGAUGUUGGGUUAAGUCCCGCAACGAGCGCAACCCUUAAGCUUAGUUGCCAUCAUUAAGUUGGGCACUCUAAGUUGACUGCCGGUGACAAACCGGAGGAAGGUGGGGAUGACGUCAAAUCAUCAUGCCCCUUAUGAUUUGGGCUACACACGUGCUACAAUGGACAAUACAAAGGGCAGCGAAACCGCGAGGUCAAGCAAAUCCCAUAAAGUUGUUCUCAGUUCGGAUUGUAGUCUGCAACUCGACUACAUGAAGCUGGAAUCGCUAGUAAUCGUAGAUCAGCAUGCUACGGUGAAUACGUUCCCGGGUCU
rnacentral:rRNA from 1 species